UACGGAGGGUGCGAGCGUUGUCCGGAAUCAUUGGGCGUAAAGGGCGCGUAGGUGGCCUGCUAAGCGUGCGGUGAAAGUCGGGGGCUCAACCCCCGAUCGGCCGUGCGAACUGGGAGGCUUGAGCACUGUAGAGGCAGGCGGAAUUCCGGGUGUAGCGGUGGAAUGCGUAGAUAUCAGGAGGAACACCGGUGGCGAAGGCGGUUCUCUGGGCCUUACCUGACGCUGAGGAGCGAAAGCGUGGGGAGCAAACAGG
rnacentral:rRNA from 1 species